CGAACGGGUGAGUAAUGCGUGACCAACCUGCCCCAUGCUCCAGAAUAGCUCUUGGAAACGGGUGGUAAUGCUGGAUGCUCCAACUUGACGCAUGUCUUGUUGGGAAAGUGUUUAGUGGCAUGGGAUGGGGUCGCGUCCUAUCAGCUUGUAGGCGGGGUAAUGGCCCACCUAGGCUUCGACGGGUAGCCGGCCUGAGAGGGCGGACGGCCACAUUGGGACUGAGAUACGGCCCAGACUCCUACGGGAGGCAGCAGGG
rnacentral:rRNA from 1 species